UACGUAGGGGGCUAGCGUUGUCCGGAAUCAUUGGGCGUAAAGAGCGUGUAGGCGGCCCGGUAAGUCCGCUGUGAAAGUCGGGGGCUCAACCCUCGAAAGCCGGUGGAUACUGUCGGGCUAGAGUGCGGAAGAGGCGAGUGGAAUUCCUGGUGUAGCGGUGGAAUGCGCAGAUAUCAGGAGGAACACCAAUAGCGAAGGCAGCUCGCUGGGACGUUACUGACACUGAGGCGCGAAAGCGUGGGGGAGCGAACAGG
rnacentral:rRNA from 1 species